rnacentral:rRNA from 1 species
UACGAAGGGGGCUAGCGUUGCUCGGAAUCACUGGGCGUAAAGGGUGCGUAGGCGGGUCUUUAAGUCAGGGGUGAAAUCCUGGAGCUCAACUCCAGAACUGCCUUUGAUACUGAGGAUCUUGAGUACGGGAGAGGUGAGUGGAACUGCGAGUGUAGAGGUGAAGUUCGUAGAUAUUCGCAAGAACACCAGUGGCGAAGGCGGCUCACUGGCCCGUUACUGACGCUGAGGCACGAAAGCGUGGGGAGCAAACAGG